UACGAAGGGGGCUAGCGUUGUUCGGAAUUACUGGGCGUAAAGCGCGCGCAGGCGGUUUUUCAAGUCAGUGGUGAAAGCCCGGAGCUCAACUCCGGAACUGCCAUUGAAACUGUAAAACUUGCGGACGAGAGAGGUGAGUGGAAUUCCCAGUGUAGAGGUGAAAUUCGUAGAUAUUGGGAAGAACACCGGUGGCGAAGGCGGCUCACUGGCUCGUAUCUGACGCUCAGGCGCGACAGCGUGGGGAUCAAACAGG
rnacentral:rRNA from 1 species